GAAAUCUUACCAAAAAUUAGUCUUCAAACCAACUGCUUUUGGAAUCAAGCUUUAAUUAAUCUUAUAAGUUUACCUUUGUCAAGGUAAUCUCAUAACAUUAAUCAAAAACCAUCCGAAUAAAACGAAUUAACCUAAACACUUAUGACAAUCAUAAAGAUAAAUUGGUGCUAAACUCGACUUAAAACUUGAACUAUGCUCAAUAGAACAGUGAGUCGAACCAAGAACUAAAGAAAUGAAAGAGAGAAAUCUUACCGAAAAUUAGUCUUCAAACCAACCGCUUUUGGAAUCGAGCUUUAAUUAAUGUUAUAAAUUUACCUUUGUCAAGGUAAUCUCAUAACAUUAAUCAAAAACCAUCCGAAUUCCUUAAGUUUCAAAACAAGUCGUCAUUCUAAAACCUUAGAUCCGAUAUUCGAGCCUAACCAGGAUGAUUCGAGAAGCACGGCUUGGGUAUUUGGGACGAGAAGGUUAAGGCGGGUCUAUGGCGUAAAUUUGGGGUCAUUUGGCAUAGGUGACGAACUGGCCGGAAAACUUCAAACGAAGAUUCGAACAACCUGGUUGUGAUUCGAAGGAAGCCAGUUUGAUAUUUGGAAUUGAGGAAUAGAAGGAGAAUCUGGGGUGUGAUUUUGGGAUGGAUUGGCCAUGGCGGCGACGGCUCCGACGAGGUGUGAAACGGUACGAGGAAGAUGAGAGGAUGUCUCUAGGGUUCUGAUUCUAUUCAGACACUUUUAACUGAUUUGGGGGUGAGCUAUGGGCCGUUAGAUCAAGUUAUAUCGACGGCUGAGAUUGAUUAGUUCAAGACGGCGUCGUUCUGGUAAAAUGGGGGUUGGGUCGGGCAUGUGGACAGGUAUGGGCUGCAACAGGCGGGUCCGAUUGGCUUUGAGUGAAAUUGUUUGGGCUUGGAUGCUGGUGUGUUUUUGGGCUCAGCUCUACUUCAAACAUAACAGGCCAAUUUCUUUUCCUUUGUUAUAAAAACUCUUGUGUUUUUCUCUCCUUUAUUUAAUUCUUUUAUUUUGCAUUUAUAAAUUUUUAUUGCUUUUCUUUUUUUGACAUUAUAAAGAUGAAAAAUUAAAAUAAAAUCGUAAUCUAUUUCAAAGCUAAACUAAUUAACUUCUAGAGUUAUUUAAAACUAUUUCAUGACAAAUUCAUAACUAAAAUAAUAAAAAUGUAAAAGUGAACUAUUUUUUUUUUUGAUUUUUCAUAUUUUGUUCUAAACCAAAUUAACCUCUAAUUAACUCUAACAUAUAAAAUUAAAUCCAAAAUGCGAAUAUAUAUUUUUUUUUUAUAUAUGAAUUAACAUGCACAAAUAAAAUGCAAACAACUAACACAAAAUUCACAAAAAUUGUAAAAAUAAGAAAAAAUCAUUUUUGUUUGAAUUUUAUGGGAAUAAUUCAUAUAUAUGGCAAAAAUCACGUGCUCACAGCUGCCCCUCUUUGCUCGGAAAUAUGAAAUAUUUUCGGGCAAAGAUAAGUGAGCAAAUACGAGCGUUUUUUGCCCGUUUGAAAAUUUCGUGUGAAGCAUUUUUAGUAAGUUUGACUGCACCCUGCUUUAGAGGUUGCCUACAUAUCUUGGGCUAAACAGGAAUCAGGUCAGUGUAGUUCGAGAGUGUCUGGUAACUGGGACUACCAGAAGAUGUAAUUUCACUACAAUUGUUAUUGCUGCUACUGCUCGCUGACCUUCCUUAUUAUACCAAUCAAAAGUAAAAGAAAAUUAUGCUGGUGCAUAAUUUCUUUGGAGGCCUUUUCAAUGGCUUUCAUUUUUCAUCUUUGUUAGGAAAGUCAUUUUUACCUUUUACAGUGUUAUAUUCAUUUUCUAAUGAGAUUAAUUUGCUUUGUAAAUUAUGCAAUUCAAUAGCAACGCUACCCAACAACUUCAAGCAGGGAGUACAGUCAACAAUAACCCACAUGUAUGCCUUCUGAAUCCCUAUUUCCUCAAGGUGACCUAGAGAGAGAUUUUGAACAUGUUCCUCAGAACCUUGUAUCCCAAUCCCCUAUCCCCACUUUUCUGAACUCUUAUGCGGAAGUUUCUGGAGGAAAUGAGAUUGUUUGGUGAAACCACAUAGGUAUUAGUACUGGGGAUCCUAAAAGGGUGGAGCUUCCUCAUGUUUUGCAUGAGUGACCUUAGUAAUGACCUUCAUACCAUUGCUAUCACUAACUAAGUUGUUGAAGAUUUGAUAUCAAUAGUGCAGCCUCAGACCAACCUAGUGAUUUAUUAUUGAAGAUUAGAGGGAUAGGUCUUACAAAAUAUGAUGUCUCUAUUAAAAAUCAUAGCUAAAAUGGGAAAGCUUCUCUGGAAAAGAAAGAAGUAAAAUUACGGCAAUAGAUGUUCAAACUCAUACUUCAACUAGAAUGAAAAAAAAGGAAUCUACGGUUGAAUGGGUAUAAAGGUAAUUUGGCACGAAGGAAGAGUUGGAAAAUCAUACUACUGCCCAAGCAUUGGCCGUAGAUCUGGUGAAGCUUUUUGUUGGUGAUCAAUGUGGUAGUGUUCAGGUACUUGAUAACAUAAUGAGAUCUUGUAAACAAACAACGGUAGCGAAGAUACUACAAGGCAAUGGAAUAGUCACCUCUGGGUUUACAAGUAAUCCUAGUCUAGGUGAUGUUUAUAAUUAGCAGUUCAAAGCAAUACAAGAAGCUAUGAAGAAAAGGGGAUAAAUACAAGAUUAUUGAAAGAAAAUACUAUGAAUUCAGAGUUGACCACUUAUGCUAGCAAAAUGGCACAUAGGAAAAGUAAUGAUGCCAUAUAAAUAGUUACUCAUGUUAGUGAGGAUCUUGGAUUGUUGGGUGGGAAAACAUUUAGUGUAACAAGUGGAAUUUUGGCUAAAAGAAUCCUUGUUAAUAAUAGAGGUAAAGGGAGAUAGGAAUGAUAGCUAAAAAUCAUGAACUAAACCCAUUGGCAAUACAGGUGGUAGAUGACGUGCAGUCUAAAGAGAAAGAUUUGGGGAGGAGGGGAGGACAUAGAGGAGGAAUCUACAACUGCUAACUUUCAACAAGCAAUGAGAUAUGGUUAUAUAUUUCCCAAAAGUGGGACUAUGAAGAAAUUCACUGGCAAAGCCAGAAGGAGACAAAAGAAAGACAUUUAAGACAGUGCACCUCAAAGGAAGCAACCAAAAAGGAGUGACAACGCCCUUUUCAAGUAAUCUUAUGGAUAAUGCUCUAGUGUGGAAUGUUAGGUCAAUAAACACACAAACUUUCAAUUGGUUGUUUACCCUACAUAGAAAAUAUAAUUUGUACUUCGUAGGAUUGAUGGAACCAUGGCAAGACAUCAUCGAGCUAGAGGAGUAUAGAAGGAAACUAGAGAUUCACCAUGCUUAUUCUAAUAUAAACGGAAAGAUAUGGGCUUUUGUUUACGAAGAUAUAAAUGUAGACAUUGUGAUGGACAUGGAACAACAAUUGACGUUGAAGUUAUUUCAUAGAAUGUGAGCAAAGAAUUAUACAAUGUCAUGACAUUGGUGUAACAAUUCGGCCGAUCAUUUAUUGAAUAUAUGCCCCGAUCCCCUAUUAACUGUUUCCCCCAUGUUUAUUUCUACUAUUUUAGUUUGCCGGGACGUUCGAUUUUGAGUUUUUCGGAGAGUUUUGAGAGACUUAGUCCCUAAAUGAGAGCUUAGCUGUUGGAAAGUUGACCGUAGUCAGAGCAGUAUGAAGAUGGCCUCAGAAUGGAAAUUUAAUGAUUUUGUUAGCUCCGUUAGGUGAUUUUGGGGUUAGGAGCGUGAUUGGAAUGUGUUUUGGAGGCCCGCAGCUAAUUUAGGCUUGAAAUGCUGAAAGUCAAACUUUUGAAGGUUUUUCAAGAAAUUCAUCGGGGUAAGUGAUUCUAACUCAGAUUUGGCUAGAGUACAUGAAUCUAUCAUUGAACUCAUCAUUGAAUUCAUGAUUUGCGAUGGAAUUUGGGAAGAAAACUUGUGAAUUUUUUUAAAAAGUCAAUGAUGAUUUGAAGGACCAAAUGGUAUCGAAAUUGGAUAAUUUUGGUAUGAUUAGACUCUUAAGGGUAUGAGGAUUCUGAAAAUGUAAAUUUUACCCAAUUUCGAGACAUGGGCCCAGGGGCGUUUUGGUCAGUUUACGUAAUUUUGCGUAGUAGCAUAAAAUUUAAUUGUAUAAUCAGUUAUUUGAAGUAUUAUUAACAUUAUGAAAUGGAAUUGAAUAGAUUUGAGCCAUUUGGAGUCGGAUACUCGUGGCAAAAGCGUGGUUUCUGGUUGAGUUGAGCUUGUUCGAGGUAAGUGGCUUGUCUAACCUUGUGUGGAGACCUUCUCUUUAGGAUAUGAUAUGUUUGGUAUCUGAAAUGCCUUGUGCGUGAGGUGACGAGCGCGUACUUGAGCCUAUUGUUGAAAACUCAUUUUUUUCCUUAAGUUAUUUCAUUGAAAUUCUUGUCCUGCUUUAUUAUACUUGCAAAUUUAGCAUGUUGUUAGUUAGAAAAGCAUGUUUAAUUGACUUAAAUUGCCUAUUUGCUUAGAUUACCAUGAUUGUAUUACGUGAAGUAUGUUAGGCUAGAAUUAUUUGUUGCUUUGAUAUAAAAUUGCAAUUUCUGAAUAUCUUCUUGUUGUUGCUGUAUAUUUAUUUUAGGACUACGGAUGUGGGAUUCCGGUAGCUCCCCCUUAUUUUUUUUACUUUGGGACUAUGAGUUAAAUUCCCGGUAGAUUUCCCUGCACAGUUAUAUGGAACGAGUGCAUCCGAUAGAUUCCACCAGUACUGGGUAUUUACAUUUGGUACUACAGAUCAAGAUUCCUGUAGAUCCUCGCGCAUUGAUAGUUGGACUACGGGAUGGUAUCCCGGGAGAUCCACUGGACAGUUGUAAUAGGGACUAGAGUAUGGUAUUCUGGGAGAUCUUCAUUGUUACUAUUGGUACUGAGCUGUAUUUACGUUCGUGUUUACUAUGUUUUUUUUUUUGCAUAGUUGUUGUUUGCCCUAUAUAACAUGUUCUAUUUCACAGCUGUACUCAUUUAUAUUGCCUAUUUCUUAUUUGUAACUGUUUCUCUUCCCCUUUACCCCUCUCAGAAUUUUGUUCCUGCAAUUGCACUUUCUCUUAGUCUUUAACUUCUGCUUCCCUCUUGUGAGCCUUGCCUUGGGACCUUGAGUUCCCUCUGAACUUGGAUACUUGAAGGCUGGCCUUUCCACACUACACUUGUGUUAAUCCGGUAAUACAUUUGGGUGUGAGCACUGCCCGGAGUUUAUUUGAGACUCUUAGUGAACUUUGACACAUCCAAAUGGGAGAGGUUUGGAUCAUGAUCUAUUGGAGUUGGUUUACCUCAUAUUUCAGACAUGAUGUCUGAAUCAGGCUCUCGUUGGUUGUACUUUUAAUUUCUUAUGUAUUCUUUUACUUCAUUUUGGGCUGUAAUAAUUUUGUAGUAAACUCUUGGGGAUGGCUGGUGAAAAGGGAGGGUAUUUAUGCAUGCAAUAAAGGGUAGAUACCAUGCCUAUAGGGUUUCUGAAUUCUGCAUAGAAAUCAUGCCUAUAGGUACUUCUGAAUUCUGCAUUCUGACAUAGGUGCCAUGCCUAUAGGCAUUUUUGAAUGAUGCAUUAUCACAUAGACGCCAUGUCUAUAAGUCAUUUCCGAAUUGUGCAUUCUCGCAUAGAUGCCAUGACUAUAAGUCAUUUUUGAAUUUUGCAUUCUCUUAAAUAGAAAUCAUGUCCAUAAGUAUCUGGAAAUCUGAAUACUGCAUAUUCAUAUGGAAAAUAUACCUAUAGGUCCUUUUGAAUCUUGUAUAUCCAUUUUCAUAUAGGAAUCAUGUUGAUAGGUUUAAACAAUCAACUGCAAUUAGAUAUCAUGUUCAUAGGCCUUAAAUGAAAUUCAACAUCUAGAUAUCAUGUCUAUAGGGCUUCUGCAUUUUUACCAUGUCUAUAAAACGUUUUAAAAUCAACAGCGCAUAAAAAGCAUGUCUAUAGGAACUAUUAUUAAUCGAAUUGCUUCAUUCACGUAUAAGGAUAAAACCAGCAAUAACAAUGUAUCACUUGUAGAUCUUAUAACCUUCAUAAGAAACUUCCUUUCCUCAAUAAUCUGGCAACCUUUCUUAAUCAAUAUGUAUUCAGUUUAUUUUAUUACUUUCUGAAUUUAUUAUAUACCAUGCCUAUAGGAUCCUUGUCCAACACUUAGGCAAGCUUUAGGGUAAAAAAUUAUAAACCGAAUCUGUUGUUAUUAACUACAACCAGCAGGCAUGCCUGGUUCGGGCUUCUUGUCUGAAUUAUGUAAUAAAUUAGUCUUCUUCAACCUUUAAGUUCUUAAUCAGACCCUAAACAGUACGUGUAACUCAUGCUAACUAUGUGCUUCUUUGAUUGAAGGAGGUAUAUUUGAGCCUUUUUACUUGUUAUGUGCUUUCCUCCAACUUUCUAUACAUUUUUUGUAUGUCGCCUUUUUACCUUUGAAACCACAAAUAUGCCUAAUAUUCCUCCUAUUUAGGAUUAGUAGUCUUAAACACCUCCGGAAAUGAUAGGAUUGGUACCGGUAAUAGCAUGCAAUAAUCAAACGAGACCAUUCUGCACUUUAAUACCUUAACGGGGUGGGAAAGGGUAGAUAUGGAUAUGCUAACUGUCACACCUCCUUUUUCACUAUACACCCUGCUAAGGGCAUAAAGGAGUUUUUCUAAUUAAAGGACAGUCGAAACGGAAUUUGGUUAUUAAUUCUUUCAGAGUCGCCACUUGGAAUUAAUGGUGUCCUAAGUCACCGAUUUGAAUCCCGAACCGAGAAAGAUUAUUAACAGUCCGCGAACCAGAAAUCUGGAUAAGGAAUUCUGUUAACCCGGUAGAAGGCGUUAGGCAUUCCCGGGUUCCGUGGUUCUAGCACGGUCGCUCAACUGUUGUAUUUGAUUUUAUCUGAUUUUAAUACAUGCUAACUUUUGUGCCCUUUUAUUUAUAUACCGCUUUUACCAUUAUUUAUUUUAAAAGACUUAUGAUGUCGCGAAAACGUGUCUUUGGCCACGCCGCCAUCAAGGCACCCGUAAUCAUCGACAUAUUUUGACUUCAUCGAGAUUUGGAUUUGGGUCGCAUCAAUGCUCACCCGAGUUUAGGAAGAUAAAUUUAAUUAAAUCGCGCUUAAAGUUUCUAAGUAAUAUUGUUUGGGAAAGGCCGUUGAAAUUCGCUAAACGACCCUUCUAAAUUUCAAUCAUUUUUAAUAAUCAAUUACUGAGGGCCUCACAUUUAUUUUUGUUCGGUGAGGCUUAUCUCUAUUUUUUGAACAAUUUUUCGAUCCUUUAUUUAUUUUAUAAGAAUUACGACGUUAUGAAAAUGCAUUUCUAACCUCGUCGACAUCAAAGCACCCGUGGUUAUCAACACAUUUCGACUUCGUCGAGAUUUGGAUUUGGGUUGCAUCAAUGCACACCCGAGUUUAAGAAAGUAAUUUAAUUAAAUCGCGCUACAUUUCGACUUCGUCGAGAUUUGGAUUUGGGUUGCAUCAAUGCACAUCCGAGUUUAAGAAGGUACUUUAAUUAAAGCGCGUCUAAAGAUUCUAUCGCAAUACUAUUUGGGGAAGGUCGUGAUAUUCACUAAACGCCCCUCCCAAUUCUAAUCAAUUCUUAUAAUUAUUUAUCGAGGGCCCCGCAUUUGGUUUUGUUUGACGAGGCUCAUCUCAGCUUAUUUUAAAAGCAAACUUAAAAACGACUAUGUUCCCUAUUUUUGGUUUUGUUUCUAACAAGGUAAUUAAAAUCCUAUCUAACUAUCUCGGUCAAAAUAACCCAGAACCUUCCAUACUAUCCUUCAAAUCCUACAGCCCAAACGACAUGGGCCUGUGACAGGCCAAUUCUUCGUGUUCCAACGAUCAAAAACAGUGUGGGCAUCGAGCCCAAAUAACGGGAAACAACGAAAUUCUUGUUGAGAAAAACGAAGGUAAUAGCUUCAACAAGUAAUGAAAUCCCUUGUCUGGGAUCGAAUCCCCAUCCCAACUUGAAUAACAAUCGAGCCUAAUUAAACAUGGUGAAGACGUACGACUAACAAGACCUGGCAAUAUAUUUUCUCAACAGAUUAAUCAAGGAUCAUGACAUGAUUCAGGAGAAUAUUUGACUAAUAUACUAAUUACAUGAUGAAUUUAUUCUUCAGUAGGUGAACUUCAAACCACUCUAUCAAUUCAAUUUAUCCAAAUAGUCCUAGUCAGGUUAGUUAUUACAAAUGAUCCCUGAAAUCAAUAAUUCAUACAAAAAAUAAUCUCGAACGAGUGAAGUAGCACUGAUGCAAAAUCACGAGUGCUAAGCAUUUAUUUCAGUUGACUACUUCCACAUGAUGACACAAAUUGACUUAACUUGGGUUCCUUCUAUUUCAUUUCAAAUCGAGACUACAUCAGGAAUGUUCAGGAGUAUACCUGGGAAAGAUGAAACAAUGAAGAGAAGAAAAAUCAGCAGCAGGCAGCAGAAACAAUUGAACCACAACUAUAAACUCAGCCCGGAAAAUGGAUCAAUAGACCAGGUAACAAACAGGAGGAGAAUUUGACCAAAAUAGCACCAAUCCCAAACACGAACUCAGAUGACAUCCAUAACAUCAGCAUGCAUCAAAAGGGAAACCUAAUUAAACUAACGACCGAUUGAAACAAUUAAUAUUUGAGAAAAAGAAAAUCAAAAUCACAUCAUAAUUUAAAUAAAGAAAUGACAAUCAACCCUAAACGAAUUAACCUAAACACUUAUGACAAUCAUAAAGACAAUUUGGUGCUAAACUCGACUUGAAACUAGAACUAUGCUCAGAACAGUGAGUCGAACCAGGAACUAAAGAAACGAAAGAGAGAAAUCUUACCAAAAAUUAGUCUUCAAACCAACUGCUUUUGGAAUCAAGCUUUAAUUAAUCUUAUAAGUUUACCUUUGUCAAGGCGCUCAAUAGAAGAGUGAGUCGAACCAAGAACUAAAGAAACUAAAGAGAGAAAUCUUACCGAAAAUUAGUCUUCAAACCAACCGCUUUUGGAAUCGAGCUUUAAUUAAUUUUAUAAGUUUACCUUUGUCAAGGUAAUCUCAUAACAUUAAUAAAAAAAACCAUCUGAAUUCCUUAAGUUUCAAAAUAAGUCGUCAUUCUAAUACCUCAGAUCUGAUAUUCGAGCCUAACCAGGAUGAUUCGAGAAGCACAGCUUGGGAAUUUGGGACGAGAAGGUUAAGGCGGGUCUAUGACGUAAAUUUGGGGUCAUUUGGCAUAGGUGACGAACUGGCCGGAAAACUUCAAACGAAGAUUCGAACAACCUGGCUGUGAUUCGAAGGAAACAAGUUUGAUAUUUGGAAUGGGGAAGAGAAGGAGAGUCUGGGGUGUGAUUUUGGGAUGGCUUGGCCAUGGCGGUGACGACUCCGGCGAGAUGUGAAACGGUACGAGGAAGAUGAGAGGAUGUCUCUAGGGUUCUGAUUCUAUUCAGAC
rnacentral:lncRNA from 1 species